AUUGAACGCUGGCGGCAGGCCUAACACAUGCAAGUCGAACGAGUGGCGGACGGGUGAGUAAUGUAUGGGAAACUGCCUGAUAGAGGGGGAUAACUACUGGAAACGGUAGCUAAUACCGCAUACCAUCGGAUGUUCCCAGAUGGGAUUAGCUAGUAGGUGGGGUAAAGGCUCACCGAGGCGACGAUCCCUAGCUGGUCUGAGAGGAUGACCAGCCACACUGGAACUGAGACACGGUCCAGACUCCUACGGGAGGAAGCAGUGGGGAAUAUUGCACAAUGGGCGCAAGCCUGAUGCAGCCAUGCCGCGUGUAUGAAGAAGGCCUUCGGGUUGUAAAGUACUUUCAGCGGGGAGGCGUUACCCGCAGAAGAAGCACCGGCUAACUCCGUGCCAGCCGCCGCGGUAAUAC
rnacentral:rRNA from 1 species